GAUGAACGCUGGCGGCGUGCCUAAUACAUGCAAGUCGAACGAAACUUCUUUAUCACCGAGUGCUUGCACUCACCGAUAAAGAGUUGAGUGGCGAACGGGUGAGUAACACGUGGGCAACCUGCCCAAAAGAGGGGGAUAACACUUGGAAACAGGUGCUAAUACCGCAUAACCAUAGUUACCGCAUGGUAACUAUGUAAAAGUUGGCUAUACUACCGCUUUUGGAUGGGCCCGCGGCGCAUUAGCUAGUUGGUAGGGUAAAGGCUUACCAAGGCAAUGAUGCGUAGCCGAAUUGAGAGGUUGAUCGGCCACAUUGGGACUGAGACACGGCCCAAACUCCUACGGGAGGCAGCAGUAGGGAAUCUUCCACAAUGGGCGAAAGCCUGAUGGAGCAACGCCGCGUGGGUGAAGAAGGUCUUCGGAUCGUAAAACCCUGUUGUUAGAGAAGAAAGUGCGUGAGAGUAACUGUUCACGUUUCGACGGUAUCUAACCAGAAAGCCACGGCUAACUACGUG
rnacentral:rRNA from 1 species